GGUUAAGCGACUAAGCGUACACGGUGGAUGCCUAGGCAGUCAGAGGCGAUGAAGGGCGUGCUAAUCUGCGAAAAGCGUCGGUAAGGUGAUAUGAACCGUUACAACCGACGAUACCCGAAUGGGGAAACCCAGUGCAAUUCGUUGCACUAUUGCAUGGUGAAUACAUAGCCAUGCAAGGCGAACCGGGGGAACUGAAACAUCUAAGUACCCCGAGGAAAAGAAAUCAACCGAGAUUCCCCUAGUAGCGGCGAGCGAACGGGGAGGAGCCCAGAGUCUGAAUCAGUUUGUGUGUUAGUGGAAGCGUCUGGAAAGUCGCACGGUACAGGGUGAUAGUCCCGUACACAAAAACACACUUGCUGUGAACUCGAUGAGUAGGGCGGGACACGUGACAUCCUGUCUGAAUAUGGGGGGACCAUCCUCCAAGGCUAAAUACUCCUGACUGACCGAUAGUGAACCAGUACCGUGAGGGAAAGGCGAAAAGAACCCCGGCGAGGGGAGUGAAAUAGAACCUGAAACCGUGUACGUACAAGCAGUGGGAGCACCUUCGUGGUGUGACUGCGUACCUUUUGUAUAAUGGGUCAGCGACUUAUAUUUUGUAGCAAGGUUAACCGAAUAGGGGAGCCGUAGGGAAACCGAGUCUUAACUGGGCGUCUAGUUGCAAGGUAUAGACCCGAAACCCGGUGAUCUAGCCAUGGGCAGGUUGAAGGUUGGGUAACACUAACUGGAGGACCGAACCGACUAAUGUUGAAAAAUUAGCGGAUGACUUGUGGCUGGGGGUGAAAGGCCAAUCAAACCGGGAGAUAGCUGGUUCUCCCCGAAAGCUAUUUAGGUAGCGCCUCGUGAACUCAUCUUCGGGGGUAGAGCACUGUUUCGGCUAGGGGGUCAUCCCGACUUACCAAACCGAUGCAAACUCCGAAUACCGAAGAAUGUUAUCACGGGAGACACACGGCGGGUGCUAACGUCCGUCGUGAAGAGGGAAACAACCCAGACCGCCAGCUAAGGUCCCAAAGUCAUGGUUAAGUGGGAAACGAUGUGGGAAGGCAUAGACAGCCAGGAUGUUGGCUUAGAAGCAGCCAUCAUUUAAAGAAAGCGUAAUAGCUCACUGGUCGAGUCGGCCUGCGCGGAAGAUGUAACGGGGCUAAACCAUGCACCGAAGCUGCGGCAGCGACACUUAGGUGUUGUUGGGUAGGGGAGCGUUCUGUAAGCCGUUGAAGGUGACCUGUGAGGGUUGCUGGAGGUAUCAGAAGUGCGAAUGCUGACAUAAGUAACGAUAAUGCGGGUGAAAAACCCGCACGCCGGAAGACCAAGGGUUCCUGUCCAACGUUAAUCGGGGCAGGGUGAGUCGACCCCUAAGGCGAGGCUGAAAAGCGUAGUCGAUGGGAAACAGGUUAAUAUUCCUGUACUUGGUGUUACUGCGAAGGGGGGACGGAGAAGGCUAGGCUAGCCGGGCGACGGUUGUCCCGGUUUAAGCAUGUAGGCGGAG
rnacentral:rRNA from 1 species